rnacentral:rRNA from 1 species
AGCGAACGCUGGCGGCAGGCCUAACACAUGCAAGUCGAGCGCCGUAGCAAUACGGAGCGGCAGACGGGAGAGUAACACGUGGGAACGUACCCUUCAGUACGGAACAACCAAGGGAAACUUUGGCUAAUACCGUAUACGUCCGUAAGGAGAAAGAUUUUUCGCUGAAGGAUCGGCCCGCGUCUGAUUAGCUUGUUGGUGAGGUAACGGCUCACCAAGGCGACGAUCAGUAGCUGGUCUGAGAGGAUGAUCAGCCUCACUGGGACUGAGACACGGCCCAGACUCCUACGGGAGGCAGCAGUGGGGAAUAUUGGACAAUGGGCGCAAGCCUGAUCCAGCCAUGCCGCGUGGGUGAUGAAGGCCCUAGGGUUGUAAAGCCCUUUCGGCGGGGAAGAUAAUGACGGUACCCGCAGAAGAAGCCCCGGCUAACUUCGUGCCAGCCGCCGCAGUAACAC